UACGGAGGGUGCAAGCGUUAUCCGGAUUUACUGGGCGUAAAGGGCGCGUAGGCGGCAAUUCAAGUCAUCUGUGAAAUCUCCGGGCUUAACUCGGAACGGUCAGAUGAUACUGCUUUGCUAGAAUGCGGAAGGGGCAAUCGGAAUUCUCGGUGUAGCGGUGAAAUGCGUAGAUAUCGAGAGGAACACCAGAGGUGAAGACGGGUUGCUGGGCCGACACUGACGCUGAGGCGCGAAAGCCAGGGGAGCAAACGGG
rnacentral:rRNA from 1 species